AGAGAAGAANCAUUUCUUCUUUUUGAAAGUNGGUUUCGGCUNANCACUUACAGAUGAGCCCGCGGCGCAUUAGCUAGUUGGUGAGGUAACGGCUCACCAAGGCGACGAUGCGUAGCCGACCUGAGAGGGUGAUCGGCCACACUGGGACUGAGACACGGCCCAGANUCCUACGGGAGGCAGCAGUAGGGAAUCUUCGGCAAUGGGCGAAAGCCUGACCGAGCAACGCCGCGUGAGCGAUGAAGGCCUUCGGGUCGUAAAGCUCUGUUGUUAGAGAAGAACAAGUACGAGAGUAACUGCUCGUACCUUGACGGUACCUAACCAGAAAGCCACGGCUAACUACGUGCCAGCAGCCGCGGUAAUACGUAGGUGGCAAGCGUUAUCCGGAAUUAUUGGGCGUAAAGCGCGCGCAGGCGGUCUCUUAAGUCUGAUGUGAAAGCCCACGGCUCAACCGUGGAGGGUCAUUGGAAACUGGGAGACUUGAGUGCAGGAGAGAAAAGUGGAAUUCCACGUGUAGCGGUGAAAUGCGUAGAGAUGUGGAGGAACACCAGUGGCGAAGGCGGCUUUUUGGCCUGUAACUGACGCUGAGGCGCGAAAGCGUGGGGAGCAAACAGGAUUAGAUACCCUGGUAGUCCACGCCGUAAACGAUGAGUGCUAGGUGUUGGGGGGUUCCACCCUCAGUGCUGAAGUUAACACAUUAAGCACUCCGCCUGGGGAGUACGACCGCAAGGUUGAAACUCAAAGGAAUUGACGGGGGCCCGCACAAGCAGUGGAGCAUGUGGUUUAAUUCGAAGCAACGCGAAGAACCUUACCAGGUCUUGACAUCCUUUGACCACUCUAGAGAUAGAGCUUUCCCCUUCGGGGGACAAAGUGACAGGUGGUGCAUGGUUGUCGUCAGCUCGUGUCGUGANAUGUUGGGUUAAGUCCCGCAACGAGCGCAACCNUUGACCUUAGUUGCCAGCAUUCAGUUGGGCACUCUAAGGUGACUGCCGGUGACAAACCGGAGGAAGGUGGGGAUGACGUCAAAUCAUCAUGCCCCUUAUGACCUGGGCUACACACGUGCUACAAUGGAUGAUACAAAGGGUUG
rnacentral:rRNA from 1 species